GGACUCCAAGAAUGGCUUGCCUCUGGCAGCCUUUACCAUGAUCUCUUCUGCUUAGGUAGGGUUUGCUGUAAUCCCAGCUAUCAUUGUCAUUGCGAAUAACGUUGAGUCGUGAUGGCCUGGCAUACUUUAUCUUUAGCGUGCAGCAUCCCACAUAUAUAUCUGCUCCAUUUAACGCAGCUUUGGCUUUCUGAGCACUAAGCACGGUGUCAAAUUCAACCAUUGCUUGGAUUCCAUUUCUUUUAAAGAUAA